CGCAUCAAGUGGAGAUUGACAUUAUUGCAUCUCCGACGGUUACUCCUUGCCAAGGAUACUCUGUAGAGGAACCCAUGUCUGGUCCCACUGACGAAACCCCAGGGGGGGAUUAGUGGGUCUCUGAAGAAUUCGAUCAAGGUGACGGCUACCCGUGUGAGGGUUGUGUUGCAGGGCAACAGUGACAGAUUCCAUCUACUGUACUCCUUUGAUUCUUUAGGUAUAUGUCCCUUUUGUACUAUCGAUAUAUAAAUUACUAUUUCUUGUGUAAAUAUCAUGCUUACAAGCCCACAUGUAAAUACUUUAUGUAUAACAAUUUAGGUAUCAAGAGUAUAUGGGGAAUUACAGGUAAC